rfam:Bacteroides luti strain DSM 26991 genome assembly, contig: Ga0131163_101
UAAGGUAGCUAUAGCAUCAGGGUUCCACCUCUUCCCAUUCCGAACAGAGAAGUUAAGCCUGAUCACGCCGAUGGUACUGCGUAACAGUGGGAGAGUAGGUAGCUGCCGUUU